AGCGAACGCUGGCGGCAGGCCUAACACAUGCAAGUCGAACGGACCCUUCGGGGUUAGUGGCGGACGGGUGAGUAACACGUGGGAACGUGCCUUUAGGUUCGGAAUAGCUCCUGGAAACGGGUGGUAAUGCCGUAUGUGCCCUUCGGGGGAAAGAUUUAUCGCCUUUAGAGCGGCCCGCGUCUGAUUAGCUAGUUGGUGAGGUAAUGGCUCACCAAGGCUACGAUCAGUAGCUGGUCUGAGAGGAUGACCAGCCACAUUGGGACUGAGACACGGCCAAACUCCUACGGGAGGCAGCAGUGGGGAAUCUUGCGCAAUGGGCGAAAGCCUGACGCAGCCAUGCCGCGUGGGUGAUGAAGGUCUUAGGAUUGUAAAAUCCUUUCACCGGUGAAGAUAAUGACUGUAGCCGGAGAAGAAGCCCCGGCUAACUUCGUGCCAGCCGCCGCGGUAAGAC
rnacentral:rRNA from 1 species